GGGCAGUUUACAAUAAAAUUAAAAUAACUACAGAUGAAAAUAAAAUAAAAUAAAAAUUCUUUCCUGGGGAUCUGAGGCAUAAGAAGCCAGAAUCAACAAAUUGAUUCUGAGCUGGGAGAAAACUUCAGAAACUGAUGGUUUCCUAGACUCUAAUUGCAGAAAACGUCCUCUUCAUUACAGGAAUAACUCUGUUUUUGUGGCUGCUCUUCUGCUUCCCAGAUCUGCAUGCUGCAUUCCAGGGCCUGCAGGCAGUGUGUCUCAGACUGGUACCAGGCCUGUACAUUUCUGGCCAAGGAGAUUCAGAGCUUUUUGAUGCUGUAAGGUUUCAGUUACAAGGUGUAAAAUUUACUAGACUGAAAAAGGAGGAAAAGAAAACCUGCUAUUUUAAAAGAUUUAUAUACCGUUUUCUUAUUAGAGCCCUGUGCACUUGGAACAGUGAAUACUUCAGCCCUUUUGAAGAACUGCAAAUAAGAGGGUUUGCAUUAUACUGGAAGGAACCGCCCUGCUGUGUGAAAUUGUGAACUUCUUUCACCUUCAUUCCUAUAAAUCUAAACUUUGUUCAGCUCCAUCUUCCUGCCACUUUGCUCUUUCCCUAAGGACCGGGCUGCCUUGGCUUUGGCUGUUUUUAUUGUAUGUUUUCAGGACCCUGUAACUCCCCGCCUGCCCCUCCUUCCUCCCUGCUAUGGCUUAAAUGCCCCUCCCACAAGAAAAGCCCUGACUCUCUUGGUCUUGUGCAACCCACAAGGGUCCCAUUGAGGCUCUCACAGUGGACAAACUUAUAGCUCCAGAGGUAACCCUGCCCCAUCUGCUUUCAACAUGUUGUGCCUGACAUUAACUAAUGUCUCCUAUUAGCACUGAAAGAAACCAAUCUGGAAAAAUGUAUUUUCAAGCCGAGUUCAAACAGGCCACAAAGAGCAGUAGAUUUUCAGCUGUGUGUGCAAAACUUUUUUUUUACUAUGUAUAUAUAUGUGUGUGUGUGUGUCUGUCUGCUGAAGCCAAGAAUUUGAGGAACAGGUCAAGGGCACAGAAGUCAUGCACAAAUCCUCUGAUUUACUGACUGGCAACAUGAAAAGGAGAGAAAAACUCAGACUGAUUCAGCAGAGAUAAUAUAGGGCAAACAAGAAAGAAACUAGCAGAGAAGUGAGGUAUUAUCUUGCCAUCCAAGAAAAGCUAGAGAAAAUACAUGCUCAUGAAGGCUCAUGAAUCAAUUAUUCUGCUGCUUCACUGACUAGGAAGACAUAGAAUUAGCAGCCACCAUAGAAGAUUCUAAUUAAGAAGUGCCCAAGAUCUUUUCCAAAAAAGACAUAUUUCAGAGAUGCUGCAAACCAAGUUGAGAUCUUUACUGAAUAUCCACUCUGACCCCAAGAAAAUCUUUUUCCUGUUAAUUAUGGACAGUUCAAACUCCAUCAAUGGUAUGUGAAGUUAGUUUUUUUUUCUUCAGUCAGAUAAAAAUUGCAACCAAUUGUUGCUUUGUGUUUGAAGGGGUGGUCUAUGGGAGAGAUUACUGGCUCAUACUGUACCCCCAUGUCUCAGCACCUGGGAUCCACUGUAGCAUCUUGCUGGAAUAGUUAGGAAAAGACAAAUUAUUGAUAUACCAAUACUGGUAAUUUGGAAGGCAGCUGAAAUUACUGUUACAAAACUAUAAAACUUUUCAAAGUUUUUAAUGCAUUUCUUGUUUUUAAAUAAUUCAUCUUCAUUCUUUCCUCAGAUUGGCUCUGGGAUUUCAUUGCAAAACAAGAGACAAAUGUUCACAAAUGCAUGGAAAGAAACUUAUGGAGCAUAAAAGAAGUGAACAGUAGCAAUAUACUGUACUCAUACUGGGCUCUCUGUCAUGGUUGUGUUAAAACACUAUCCACCAG